AGAGUUUGAUCAUGGCUCAGGAUGAACGCUAGCUACAGGCUUAACACAUGCAAGUCGAGGGGAAACGAUAGAGAAAGCUUGCUUUUUCUAGGCGUCGACCGGCGCACGGGUGAGUAACGCGUAUCCAACCUGCCCACCACUUGGGGAUAACCUUGCGAAAGUAAGACUAAUACCCAAUGACGUCUCUAGAAGACAUCUGAAAGGGAUUAAAGAUUUAUCGGUGAUGGAUGGGGAUGCGUCUGAUUAGCUUGUUGGCGGGGUAACGGCCCACCAAGGCAACGAUCAGUAGGGGUUCUGAGAGGAAGGUCCCCCACAUUGGAACUGAGACACGGUCCAAACUCCUACGGGAGGCAGCAGUGAGGAAUAUUGGUCAAUGGGCGAGAGCCUGAACCAGCCAAGUAGCGUGCAGGAUGACGGCCCUAUGGGUUGUAAACUGCUUUUAUAAGGGAAUAAAGUGAGCCUCGUGAGGCUUUUUGCAUGUACCUUAUGAAUAAGGACCGGCUAAUUCCGUGCCAGCAGCCGCGGUAAUACGGAAGGUCCUGGCGUUAUCCGGAUUUAUUGGGUUUAAAGGGAGCGUAGGCCGGAGAUUAAGCGUGUUGUGAAAUGUAGAUGCUCAACGUCUGCACUGCAGCGCGAACUGGUUUCCUUGAGUACGCACAAAGUGGGCGGAAUUCGUGGUGUAGCGGUGAAAUGCUUAGAUAUCACGAAGAACUCCGAUUGCGAAGGCAGCUCACUGGAGCGCAACUGACGCUGAAGCUCGAAAGUGCGGGUAUCGAACAGGAUUAGAUACCCUGGUAGUCCGCACGGUAAACGAUGGAUGCCCGCUGUUGGUCUGAAUAGGUCAGCGG
rnacentral:rRNA from 1 species